rnacentral:SRP_RNA from 1 species
GCCGGGUGUGGUGGUGCGUUCCUGUAAUCCCAGCUACUCAGGAGGCUGAGGCAGGAGGAUCACUUGAACCCAGGAGACAGAGGCUGCAGUGAGCCGAGAUCACGCCACUGCAGUCCAGCCUGGGUGACAGAGCGAGACUCCGUCUCAA